CCUACGGGAGGCAGCAGUGGGGAAUCUUGCGCAAUGGGCGAAAGCCUGACGCAGCAACGCCGCGUGCGGGAAGAAGGCUUUCGGGCUGUAAACCGCUUUCAGCAGGAACGAAAAUGACGGUACCUGCAGAAGAAGGAGCGGCCAACUAUGUGCCAGCAGCCGCGGUGAUACAUAGGCUUCAAGCGUUGUCCGGAUUUAUUGGGCGUAAAGAGUUCGUAGGCGGUCGAGUAAGUCGGGUGUGAAAAUUCUGGGCUCAACCCAGAGACGCCACCCGAUACUGCUUGACUUGAGUUCGAUAGGGGAGUGGGGAAUUCCUAGUGUAGCGGUGAAAUGCGCAGAUAUUAGGAGGAACACCGGUGGCGAAGGCGCCACUCUGGAUCGAUACUGACGCUGAGGAACGAAAGCAUGGGUAGCAAACAGGAUUAGAUACCCUGGUAGUCCAUGCCGUAAACGGUGGGCACUAGGUGUGGGUUUCUAUUAACGAAAUCCGCGCCGUCGCUAACGCAUUAAGUGCCCCGCCUGGGGAGUACGGUCGCAAGACUAAAACUCAAAGGAAUUGACGA
rnacentral:rRNA from 1 species